rnacentral:tRNA from 1 species
GCGGGUAUAGCUCAGGGGUAGAGCAACAGCCUUCCAAGCUGAAGACGCGGGUUCGAUUCCCGCUACCCGCUCCA